GGAGAGUCUAGAGAAUUGUACUGAGAGAAUAGUACACAUUUAGAUACAGAUAUUUUAAUAAAUGAUAGAUUUUAUGCUAUGUAUGAGGGAGUGUGAUUUAUUGUUAGACAGAACGUCUUCCUGUUUCCCGGAAAGGAAGCCAUUUUUCUCAAAUUGCAAAACAAGUUUUGUGUUGCAGAAGACUUGCAGAAACGAGAUUUGAGAUGCCUCGGACGAAGCAGUCUCAGCGUUCUCAGGCAGCCAAGAAGAGAAUCGUGAACCGGCUAGCUGCUAAUCCUGAAGAGAUCUUGUCACCUGUUAAAAAAAGAAAAGAAAUACAAGAGCCUGAUCCUACUUUUGCCAAUUGUUCCGAAUUUGCCAAUUGUUCCGAAUUUUCCGAUUGUUCCGAAUUUGCCGAUUGUUCCGAAUUUGCCAAAUAUUCCGAAUCUUACCCAAACUCUGACCCAAAGUCUGAUUCAGACGCUAAUUCAAAGUCUAUGCCAAAGUUUCCAAAAGAUGCUGAGAUGACUAUGCAUGCUGUUUCUUCUUUGUCUCCACAGACUUCCUAUAUCAGAGGCUCUUUCCAUCAAGGAGAUUACCGUUUUGGCUGGAAUAGGGGAAGCCAAUGUGGUGCAAACAGUUUAACUGCAAUUGUGAUGUGUAAGAUGAAAAGUGUGUUGCAGUGGACAAGAAGUGACCUGAAUGCUGUUUUGAUCCACGGAAAUGACCUGUACAGUGCAAUGAGAGACGCAGGGAAGAUCAACGAUCCUGAAUCAGGCUUCAUAGCUGUUCAUGAGCUACCAGACACACACACUCUGAAAGAUUGUCAGUUUUCAAUAAACUAUGGUGAAACAUUGACUGGCUUGUUUGGUGUCAAUAAAUAUGAUGGUGAACUACGAGGGUAUGCAAUGUCAUUUGAUGAAGCAGUAAAUCGAGCAUUCCAGAGGUUUGAUGCAUGCUUAGUGAAUAUUAAGCUAACCAUAUGUGCAGCUGUCAGAGA
ensembl:lncRNA